GUAGACUGUUAGGCAACUAAAAAACAAUAUACUGCUAAAAUGAUUGUAGAUGAAACAAAAUCACUAGACGGAUGCACGGGAAGACUAGAAAGGAUAAAAUUAUAAUCAAACUUAUCCGAGGAAUAGGUGGCCGCACAAAUUGAUGUGUUUUUACUUCCCUUACUUCCUUCCUCUAGAUUUUGAGUCAUAACGGUACGACUUUUUCUUCUUGCGAAUCAUCACAUUCGGACCUCCUCCACCCUCCUUGAAUGGCAUCCCCAUGAGGGCCAGAAGCCUCUGAGCCUCAUUAUCGGUUUUCGCUGUGGUGGUUAUGCAGACAUCCAUUCCUUUCUGCUUGCCAAGCGCCUCAUACCUGAUCUCAGGGAACACACUCUGGUCACGCAUGCCGAUGCUGAAAUUACCAUGCCCAUCGAAACUGUUCGGGUUGACACCUUGGAAGUCCCUGGUACGAGGGAGACCUAAGUUGACAAGUCGAUCCAGGAAGGAGUACAUCAUGUUCCCGCGGAGUGUGACUGCAAUUCCAACAACAGUCCCCUCCCUAAGCUUAAACGCCGCAAUCGAAUUCUUCGCCUUCGUCUUCACCGGCCGCUGCCCUGUAAUCAGGGACAAAUCCCUAAUCGCCGCCUCCAGCCCCUUGGAGUUCUGCUCCGCAUCCCCCAUCCCGCAAUUCACUACUAUCUUCUCAAUCUUCGGCACCUCGUGGACAUUCUUG
rnacentral:misc_RNA from 1 species